CCUACGGGUGGCUGCAGUGGGGAAUAUUGGACAAUGGGGGGAACCCUGAUCCAGCGCCUCCGCGUGAGUGAAGAAGUAUUUCGGUAUGUAAAACUCUAUCAGCAGGGACGAAAAUGCCGGUACCUGACUAAGAAGCCCCGGCUAACUACGUGCCAGCCGCCGCGGUAAUACGUAGGGUGCACGCGUUAUCCGGAUGUACUGGGUGUAAAGGGCGCGUAGACGGUGCAGCAAGUCUGAUGUGAAAGGUCGGGGCCCAACCCCGGGACUGCAUUGGAAACUGUUGAACUGGAGUACAGGAGAGGUAAGCGGAAUUCCUAGUGUAGCGGUGAAAUGCGUAGAUAUGAGGAGGAACACCAGGGGCGAAGGCGGCUUACUGGACUGUAACUGACGUUGAGGCUCGAAAGCGUGGGGAGCAAACAGGAUUAGAUACCCGUGUAGUC
rnacentral:rRNA from 1 species